rnacentral:rRNA from 1 species
CCCUUAGAUGUUCUGGGCCGCACGCGUGCUACACUGAGUGGAUCAGCGGGUCAGGUUGCGCGAAAGCGUUUCCUAAUCUUGAAAUCCGCUCGUGAUGGGGAUUGACGGUUGCAAUUUUCUGUCAUGAACGAGGAAUACCUUGUAAGCGCGGGUCAUCAUCCCACGCUGAAUACGUCCCUGCCCUUUGUACACACCGCCCGUCGCUCCUACCGAUUGAGUGGUCCGGUGAGGCUUUGGGAUCUGAGCGGAAAGAGCGUUUCGCUCGUUCUGCCCGGAAAACUCAGUCGAACCUUAUCAUUUAGAGGAAGGAGAAGUCGUAACA